rnacentral:rRNA from 1 species
GUGAAGAAGGCCUUCGGGUUGUAAAGCUCUUUUAGUCGGAAAGAAANAGUUGCNNUGNAUAAUUGUGAUUNAUGACGGUACCGACAGAAAAAGCACCGGCUAACUACGUGCCAGCAGCCGCGGUAAUACGUAGGGUGCGAGCGUUAAUCGGAAUUACUGGGCGUAAAGGGUGCGCAGGCGGUUUUGNAAGUCAGAUGUGAAAGCCCCGGGCUUAACCUGGGAANUGCGUUUGAAACUACAAGGCUAGAGUGCNNCAGAGGGGAGUGGAAUUCCAUGUGUAGCAGUGAAAUGCGUAGAGAUGUGGAANAACACCGAUGGCGAANGCAGCUCCCUGGGUUNACACUGACGCUCAUGCACGAAAGCGUGGGGAGCAAACAGGAUUAGAUACCCUGGUAGUCCACNNCCUAAACGAUGUCAACUAGUUGUCGG